UGGGGAAUUUUGGACAAUGGGCGCAAGCCUGAUCCAGCAAUGCCGCGUGAGUGAAGAAGGCCUUCGGGUUGUAAAGCUCUUUUAGUUGAAAAGAAAGAAUCGCGAUUAAUAAUCGCGAUUUAUGACGGUAUCAACAGAAAAAGCACCGGCUAACUACGUGCCAGCAGCCGCGGUAAUACGUAGGGUGCAAGCGUUAAUCGGAAUUACUGGGCGUAAAGGGUGCGCAGGCGGUUCUGUAAGUCAGAUGUGAAAUCCCCGGGCUUAACCUGGGAAUUGCGUUUGAAACUGUAGAACUAGAGUGCGGCAGAGGGAGGUGGAAUUCCAUGUGUAGCAGUGAAAUGCGUAGAGAUAUGGAAGAACAUCGAUGGCGAAGGCAACCUCCUGGGCUAGCACUGACGCUCA
rnacentral:rRNA from 1 species